UGAUUUUAUUCAAGUUGGUCAACUAUUAAGACUGGAUCUAUCCGAUAUUGUCCCUUUAAGACCUUUCAGGAAACAGCAAAAGAACAUCAUAGAGCAAACAUUAGAAAUUGAGAAAUGGUGGAGCCUCCUUGCAGCCACGAGAUAACUGCAGAGACUUACACCACCUGUUUGUCUGGAUAAGAGAAGAUGGGAAGUCCCUCCUGACUGCUGGCCUAUCCAGUCCUCCAUGCAGGGGAGAUGGGGCUGCAGAGCCAGUGCCUCCACACUGCCCUCCUGGCUU